rnacentral:rRNA from 1 species
AGAGUUUGAUCCGGGCUCAGAACGAACGCUGGCGGCAGGCUUAACACAUGCAAGUCGAGCGCCUCGCAAGAGGAGCGGCAGACGGGUGAGUAACGCGUGGGAAUCUACCCAUCUCUACGGAACAACUCCGGGAAACUGGAGCUAAUACCGUAUACGUCCUUCGGGAGAAAGAUUUAUCGGAGAUGGAUGAGCCCGCGUUGGAUUAGCUAGUUGGUGGGGUAAUGGCCUACCAAGGCGACGAUCCAUAGCUGGUCUGAGAGGAUGAUCAGCCACAUUGGGACUGAGACACGGCCCAAACUCCUACGGGAGGCAGCAGUGGGGAAUAUUGGACAAUGGGCGCAAGCCUGAUCCAGCCAUGCCGCGUGAGUGAUGAAGGCCCUAGGGUUGUAAAGCUCUUUCAACGGUGAAGAUAAUGACGGUAACCGUAGAAGAAGCCCCGGCUAACUUCGUGCCAGCAGCCGCGGUAAUACGAAGGGGGCUAGCGUUGUUCGGAAUUACUGGGCGUAAAGCGCACGUAGGCGGAUUGUUAAGUUAGGGGUGAAAUCCCUGGGCUCAACCCUGGAACUGCCUUUAAUACUGGCAAUCUCGAGUCCCAGAGAGGUGAGUGGAAUUCCGAGUGUAGAGGUGAAAUUCGUAGAUAUUCGGAGGAACACCAGUGGCGAAG